UGAUGAAGAUGACGAUGAAGAGACCACAUCUGCGGUGACAGAAGUGGACAAUGCUAGUAGAUCCACUGAGUACAUACCUAGGGAUUUGCCCACAGAUGAGGGUCCUUCAACCUCAGCACACAAUCUAAGCAGGUUGCCAGCAAAGGAGCUGUAGAAGGCCCAUCUUCAAAAACAAAUAAGAAAAAG